GUCCGGAUGGCGCAGUGGCCAGUGCAUCUGCCUAGUAAGCAGGAGACGCGGGUUCGAAUCCCAUUCCGGCACA